rnacentral:rRNA from 1 species
UACGAAGGGGGGCUAGCGUUGCUCGGAAUCACUGGGCGUAAAGCGCACGUAGGCGGAUUGUUAAGUCAGGGGUGAAAUCCCGAGGCUCAACCUCGGAACUGCCUUUGAUACUGGGGAUCUCGAGUCCGGGAGAGGUGAGUGGAACUGCGAGUGUAGAGGUGAAAUUCGUAGAUAUUCGCAAGAACACCAGUGGCGAAGGCGGCUCACUGGCCCGAUACUGACGCUGAGGCACGAAAGCGUGGGGAGCAAACAGG